UAUUUCCUUGGCCGCACUCCCUCUGAUUUUUCCAAUCCGUCGCCAGCUCCUUAUCCUUAUCCGCCGUGGGAUUUUUUUUGGCCGUCGCCCCAGCCUGUCUUCCACCUCCAUCUCUCCCUCGUGGCCAUGGUGAGCUCCCCUGCGACGCGCCUCCACGUCACAGGCCAGCUCGGCCUCCUCCCUAGCACCGUCCCAUUUCCUCCCUGCACCGGAUCCCCUUUCCCCUGCGUGCCGGACUUUCCUCCACUCCUCCAUCCAUGGCUCUCUGCUGCUUUUACUCCCUCCCCUGUUCGCCCAUGGAAGUCGCGCCCUUGCCAAGCUCCCUCCGCGCCGUGGUGCUCCAGCUCGGCCUGCUUCCCAGCUCGCUCGGCCGAAGCGCCCUGCUCGCCCUCCUGCGUCGCGCCCUGGCCCCUUCUCUGCGCGCUCCUCCAAGCCGGCGUCCUCUGCACGCCAUGGCCGCCGCGCCCCGGGUCGCAUGCUCCACCGUGCCGAGCUCCCUAGCGCUUGCCCUGCCCUCUGCCAUGGACGUCGUCGGCCUUGACUCCCUCUGGCUGCGGCAUCCGUCUUGCUCCCUGCUCCGACCAAUCCGCCUAGGUUCGACCAUGGCACGCCGCGGCCGUGUGGAAAUGUGGCGGAUCGAGGAAAGCCUUCGUGUUCUCCCUGCUCUGCGAUGCCGAGGUCCCUCCCUUGGUUGUGCUCAGCUCCAGCUCCGUGCCUUGUCCCUGGUUGCGCGCGUGCUCGCCAGUCUUUCCUGUGCGCGCUCCACCUCGUCCAUGGCGUCGCGGCCUUCUUGCCCGCCAGCACGCCCUCUCGGUUCGCUCGGCCUCAAUCUCCAUCGCGCCGCGCUCCUCCCCCUGUCCCUGCUACACUGUCGGCAACUCCCUGUUUCCCCUCAAUCUCCAUCGCGCCGCGCUCCUCCCCCUGUCCCUGCUACACUGUCGGCAACUCCCUGUUUCCCUGGUGUCGCGCGCGCUCUUGGUCCUUGCGAGUCCACCUUGGUCCGCCAGCGACACCCGUGUCGGCUCUGUAAUGCUUGUACGCGUCUGUCCACGUCGCUGGCAGCUCGGUCUCUACGUGUGUCUUCCUCGACAUCUCGACACCGGAACUCCAUCAUGUCUGUAUGUGUGUGGAAGAAUGGAGUCGAUGGAGAAGAAAGCGAAGCCCGUGUGGUUCUUGCGUUCAUCUGGUGUGGAAUUGGAGCUAUGGUUGAAGAAGAAAAUGAAGUCCGAAAGCGACGCUUGUCAUGAACCUCGUCGUCGACCCACGUUGUAUCCACGACGUGCUCGUCGACUCCGAUGAUCUGUUUUCCAAUUGCGUGCUGCCUACGUCGAUUUUCAGAACUCCUUGUCGUGCUCGACCCUAUUGUCGUCGUUCCGUGCGUCAUCAAGAAAUUCCAAGAGUCAGGUGAAGACGAAGCUAAUAGUGUGAUGUUCACAAGUGCUCGACGCAAGGGCCGAACCGGAAUCCUUGCCGUGUUCACGUAUAGCGCGUCAGAUUUAGUUAUGGGUGCGCUAGUUGAGCAUGUGAUACGGAAUACAAGCCAAGUCGACCCCAAGAUGACGUAACGGGUGGACUACUCCGCAUAGUGAAGCUGAUGGACGAACCUAAAGAUGGAUAACCUGAUCAAGUGCCAGGACAAAGGAUGGUCGUCAAGUGAUCAACGUCUAACAAACACUAAUGUAGUGUUUAUUCUAGGCAAGCCCCGGUGCAUUAUCCCUUUCCUUGUGUUUUAAAAUCUUUAUCACCUUGUUUGAUGCAUUAGGUGAUAGGAGUUGUGUGCUAAACAGUUGAUGCAUUUCCUUCUUUGAAAAAUUGAUUACCCUUCCUUGAUACCCUUUUAUGAAAAGGAUUUUUAUGAUGCUUAGCCUUGCUUUAGUAAAACAAAAUGUUUUGUUUUAAAACAAAAGGUGAUGCUUCACGGUGGAUGGGAAUUUUUACAAAGAAAAACUUGUGAUGAUGGAUCCAUCAGGGCCUUGAUGGGUUCAACAUCUGAAAAGAUGUACCUCUGCCAGGUACCAAACUUUGGGUUUAAAAUAAUAAAGCUGAGACCGGGUAGGUGACUUGCAUGAGAAGGGAGUCUCGGUGUAGUGUCCCCGUCUGAGUCACUUAAGGACCGUGCUGACCGAGGACUCUUUAACUGGUCACAUGCCUUGUCUUGGGUAAGCUCUGCCUCGAGCAGACCAAUACCAGAAAGGCCAACACACAAUGGGAGUGGAGAGAUGGCGAGAGUAGCAUGUACCCUCCAUGGCAAGAGGCUGGACGGUGGUGUAUCUAUGCUCUCGGUUGGCGUGAACCCGGUCUGGUCUUGAGAAACCCGGUGGCGAGUUGACAUAUGCAAGGGUUAAGUGCUACAUAUGUUGUGUGAUUGGAGAUCCUCAGUUGAGUAUUAAUCGAUUUGGAUCGUCGUUACUUCUCGGAUAUGAAGACUUGGUCACUGACUUACACGUAGCAAUCCAGUGAACUGAAGCGAUGAUAAAAAGAUGGCUAGUAUAGGCCAAGUGCUUGAACAAGGAUAGAAAGAAUUGUAGAUGCAGGUAACUUUACUUAACUUGACAAGUAAAAAUGGAUUUUAAGGAUCCACUCAUAGUAAGCUUUUCUGCAAACAGAGUCUUUUAUUCUUGAUAAGCUUUACCUUGAUUCCCAUAAGCCAGCAUAUCCUUGAGAGUCUUUUUCCUUAGACGGGUAAGACUUGCAAAAGUACACUUCGUACUCGGGGUUUUCGAACCCAUGUUGUUGCAUGUACUAGAAUUGUGUUGUUGUGGAUCGUGUUAAGCGCCGGUGGUCACGGCCUUCUUAUAAGUCUAAGUACCUCUCCUAUACUUCUUAUUGAGGAUUGUCACUGAGCUAGCAUAUAUUUCGAACUUACAAACAAUUUAUAACAUUUCAAAAUUUAUUUCUUUGAAUCACUUUGAAACCACUCCGAUAAACAUAAUGUAGAUUUGUUAUAACUUGUAACCUUUUGUAAUAAAGAAAUUCCUCUGCAAAA